UGGGGCGGAGGGCGCAGGUGGGAAUCAGAACAGAAAUAACUCGCCAGGCGGCAAGAGGUUGGAAUCAGGAGAAGCAGCAGAAACUCCUGCCCUGCGGACACAGUGGACAUUACUGGGAAAGACACCGGAGACCUAGGAGUUCACCCAAGUCCUCUGCAGUCCUGCAGCCCUCUCUCCUGGAUCUGAGAUGAUUUCACUUAAAAACACAAGCCUUUGCUUAAAGGCACUACCAGAUGCUGGGCACCCAACAAUGAAGAUGCCAGAGGCCCUGCUGCCCUGGGGCCCUGACCAGUGAGGAGCACAGCAGCAGACCACUUAGACAUGGUGGCCAGGGAAGGUGUCUGUGAUGAGAUACCACUUGAGCUGAGACCCAAAGAGUAGAGUUGGACAUGUGAGAGAAGUUGUGAGAAGAACAUUUCAGAAAAAAAGGAAGAGUGGGAAUCCAGGGUUUGUGGUGGAGCAGACCUCAGGCUGAGGUGUGGUAAGCCAGUCGUCAUUUGCCUGCAUUGGUGUUCCUUCCAUCCAGUCGUCAUUUGCCUGCGUUGGCGUUCCUUCCAGCCAGUCGUCAUUUACCUGCGUUGGCGUUCCUUCCAGCCAAUGACACUCCAGGAGCUCUUCAUGAAUUAAAGCCACAUUUGCCUGCAGAAGCCAGUGAAGUUACCAACCGGCUCAAAAAGAAUCAUGUUCAGGAUUUCAUUUCAUGAAAGUAUAUUAUCAUAAUGCUGACUUGGUGUGUAAGCAUUGUGCAGGUCAGAUUCUUGUCUUCAGGGCAUAGAUGAAUCUGCUGAGACUCAGGGCUGAUCUUAAAACAUGCUUCACUAAGAAACUCAAUUUGUAACCAAGGGAAAGGAGGCAUCAUCAGAGGGUAAGUGUAUUCCAUGCUGCCUUCCUAAUGCCAAGGAUGGGGAGAUGGCCAGGAACAGGGGAAGGGCUGGGGACCAACUGUAGACAUUAGAAGACGUUCACAAUCUGUUGUUGGUGGAAAAACUUCAGGAGACAAAGCACUCUUGUACUAUUCUUGUAAUCAGGAAAUAGACAAUUACGCUGGGACAAAAAUAGCCCGUUGAAGGAGGGUCCCGGAGCUAUGGAUGGUGACUCUGCCCACCUGUCUUGGCCCCAGCGCUGCAUGCCUGUGCUCACUGCUCAUGCAUCUGCUCCUGCGGCUGCACAGCCCCCAGAGGCUCGGAGCACAGCAGGGAGCAAGGGGAGCUCCCUGAAGGCAAGGGGCUUAGAGUCACUCUGCAGACACGAGGGGUCCAAGGGUGUUUAAGACCGUGUGCAGUGUAGCUCCACUCAGCGGAGACAGGCAGGGUUCCCUUCCUUUAAAGCAAGCUUAUCCAACUUGCACACAGCCCAGGAUGGCUUUGAAUGCGGCCGAACACAAACGCGUAAACUUUCUUAAAACAUUAGGAGUUUUUUGGUGAUUUUUUCUUUUAGCUCAUCAGCAGUCAUUAGUGUUAGUAGAUUGUAUGUGUGGCCCAAGAUAAUUCUUUUUCCAGUGUGGCCCAGGGAAGCCCAAAGAUUGGACAGCCCUGCUUUAAAGAAUCUUGGGGGAAGUUGGUUACUGGAGGGAGACUUUGCCUGGGAUAUGGGAGGCAGAAGGGUCAAGCCCAUCUCCUCUUCUCUUCCUCCCCUUCCUCUCUUUCCCUCCCCCUCCUUUCCCUCUUUCCUGGCUCCCUCCUCUCCCCUCCUCCCCUUCCUCUCUCUGUUGUCCUCUGACACUCGCCUUGGGGGCAGCAUCUGAGAGCUGAGCCCCCACCUCCUGUUUCUUUGCUUUUUCUGAGCCUGGGCCAGGCCUUCAAGCUCCAGGCAGAAGAUGUAAGCUCCUGCUGUAGGCUCCAGCUCAUAGGUCAUGGAAGCUGGAUGGGGCCAGACUACCGUGGGCUUCAGUCUCCCUCUCUGCUUCCUGCUCUCACCCACUUCCCUUGAGGCUCAUCAUGGAGUGAGAGGGGCAGCCCUCAGGCCCUCAUGCAUCUGUUGUCAAGGUGCAUGCUGCCUUGAUAACAGAUGUUCAUUUGGUGUUGCCAGCUCUGCCUCUCUAACAGAACCCUGGCCGGCUCAGCCGCCAACUUCCAGGAGCCAGCGGGUGUAAGGUUUGGCAACAGAGGGCAGGGAGGAGAGCAGGGACACCAGCUGAGGGCAGAACUGCGGGUCCCUUCCCUGCCCGCCUCCACCAGCACCAGGCUCCCAGCCACCUUGCAGAUGAGCUCACUCUCCGCACCCCGGGAAAAAUUGCCCUCCACACCCCGAGAUGUCACCCAGUCUCACCUGAGAACAGGUGUAACACUGCCCCGCCUGGCUUCUUUCUGGCCACACUCAGAGCUGUGCUGAGCAGUCCCUGGAGCCCUCAGCGCAUCUGGUUUUCCUUCCCACCGCUGCUUUGAGCUUCCAGGGCUGUGAAAGACCCCUCUGCUGCCCCCAUCAAUGCCUUGAAUGGAUUCAGAUUCCAGAGGCUUUGUUUGGCUUUUGCGGGAUGUGGAGGAGGCAGGGUGGUGGGGUGUGGAGAAGACAGUGUGUGCCCGUGGGAAGAGGAUGCUCCCUGCCCCAACCACGUUCCUGUGUGCCUUCUCUUUCUGUGGCUUUCUUAGGAAAGGUCUUUCUAUCUCAACUUUAUAAACAUAUUAGCCCACACUUCUAGUACUUCUAGGGUUUUAAUUUUUACACUAGAUUUUAAAAAUUAUUUAGCAACUCUUAAGUGCUGUAUUAGUUUCCUCUUGCUGCUGUAACAGAUUGCCUCAUACGUCGGGGCUCAGAUAACACUCAGAUUACCUUGCAGUACUGGAGGCCAGUGUCCUGUAUAGGUCUGCCUGGACUAAGGUCAGGCCAGCAGCCAACUGUGCUGCUUCCUGGAGGCCCCAGGCAGAAGUCUUUUCCUCAUUCACAUUUUUGUGAAAGGCAGCUCGUUGCAGAUGUAGAACUGGGGCUGUGAUGUCUCUUGCUGGCUCUAAGCGAAGAUUCACUCCCAGCUUCCAGAGGCUGCUGACCCUCGGCCCCCAGCACCUUCCUCCAGGUGCUCAGUGGGCAUGGGGUCGAGGGCAAGCCUCAUGACACAUCCCUCUCACUCAAUCUUCUGUCCCUUCUUCUUCUACUGCCAAGAACUCACGUGAUGACUUUGGGUCCACCUGGAAGGUCCAGGAUGCUCUGCCAUAUCGAAGUUAGCUGAUUAGCAUCCGUAAUGUCCAUUUUCCAUGUAACAUGAUGUGUUCACAAGUUUCAGGAAUUAGGAUGUGGACAUCCAAGAGGGCCAUUAUUGUGUCCAUCACAGCUGUGCCAGGCACAAUUUCCGGCACUGGAAGUGUAGACAUGACAAAGGUGGACCGAAUCCAAUCACCUGCACUCACAGAGUUUGAGUGCAGUGGAGACUGGACAAGGGUGAAAACCUGCUACUGCUGGCCUUGGGAGGUGGGAUCAAAGCUCCUUUCCCUGGGUCUGGUGUCCCACAGAAUAUGACAGAAGUGUCAUAGGGACAGGCAGCUUUUCUGUUUCCCACCAACCAUAUGAGAAAAUGGCCAUGAUCUGAGGAAGCCCAAGCAGCAUUGCAGAGGCCACAGAGAGGGACCAAGGGCUCUGGCCAAGGACCUGGCUGAGCUGCUGACCAAGACGUCACCAACUUUCCACCAUGUUUUGAAAUGACUUUUGUGUCUUUUCUCUUUUUUAGGUGAACUCCCCAGGAGCAAUAAUUUCUUCUUGUUCUUUUCAGCAUCUUUAUUACCUUAGACAAAGGUCAGCUGCUGUUUAUGUCAUUGCUGAGCUUAACCACAGAGAGAAGUUCUAGGCCAGUGGAUCUCAGACGUCUUUAAAGUGAACUCCAUAUCCUUGAGUCAACAUAUCCAUGGGGAAGGGACUAGACAUCCAGCUAAGCUCGUCUCAGAUUCCUGAUUAAAGUGGUGGUUUUAAACAAUUGAGUUUUGGAGUGCUAGUUUGUUGUGCAGCACUAGGUAAUUGAAAAAACUAGUAUUUAUCUGCAUUUUGGUAUGUAGUAGUGAGCUAAAGAUGAAAAUUUAUCUUUUUUUUUUGUAAAAAGUUAAUUUUCCUAGCCCAAUUCAGUAGGUAGACAAUUCUUUCCCUUCUGCUUUAAAGAUCAUAUAAAAAUUUCUUAUAUGUUCAUGGGCCUGUUUUCUGACACAUUCAUGUUCAUUUAUUAUAUAUAUAUUUUGGAGCUCCUCUUGUCUAGCAAACUGCCCCUAUCUUCUCUGUACAGAUGUGGCUACUUCCUUGUGUGUGCGCCCACACCCUUGUUAUGCUUCUGCUAAUACGAUUCUAGCACUUCUCUCGCUGAAUUGCAAUGAUCCUUUUAUGUCUUUUCUUCUAGGACCUCUCAAGGCCAGCAAUUAUGUCUCAUUUGUUUUGACCUCUCCAGGGCCCAGCAGAAAGAUUUACUCAUAGCAGCUGUUCAACUGUUUGUUGAGUCGAACCAAAAUGGAUGUUGUUUAGUCCAAGGGAUCUCACACUACUGGAUAUUUUUGAGCAAAUAAAACAGAAAAUGUGGAGAAAUGAAAAA